rnacentral:rRNA from 1 species
GACGAACGCUGGCGGCGUGCUUAACACAUGCAAGUCGAACGGAAAGGCCCUGCUUUUGUGGGGUGCUCGAGUGGCGAACGGGUGAGUAACACGUGAGUAACCUGCCCUUGACUUUGGGAUAACUUCAGGAAACUGGGGCUACUACCGGAUAGGAGCUCCUGCUGCAUGGUGGGGGUUGGAAAGUUUCGGCGGUUGGGGAUGGACUCGCGGCUUAUCAGCUUGUUGGUGGGGUAGUGGCUUACCAAGGCUUUGACGGGUAGCCGGCCUGAGAGGGUGACCGGCCACAUUGGGACUGAGAUUCGGCCCAGACUCCUACGGGAGGCAGCAGUGGGGAAUAGUGGACAAUGGGCGGAAGCCUGAUGCAGCAACGCCGCGUGCGGGAUGACGGCCUUCGGGUUGUAAACCGCUUUCGCCUGUGACGAAGCGUGAGUGACGGUAAUGGGUAAAGAAGCACCGGCUAACUACGUG